rnacentral:rRNA from 1 species
AUUGAACGCUGGCGGCAGGCCUAACACAUGCAAGUCGAACGGUAACAGGAAGAAGCUUGCUUCUUUGCUGACGAGUGGCGGACGGGUGAGUAAUGUCUGGGAAACUGCCUGAUGGAGGGGGAUAAUUACUGGAAACGGUAGCUAAUACCGCAUAACGUCGCAAGACCAAAGAGGGGUACCUUCGGGCCUCUUGCCAUCGGAUGUGCCCAGAUGGGAUUAGCUAGUAGGUGGGGUAACGGCUCACCUAGGCGACGAUCCCUAGCUGGUCUGAGAGGAUGACCAGCCACACUGGAACUGAGACACGGUCCAGACUCCUACGGGAGGCAGCAGUGGGGAAUAUUGCACAAUGGGCGCAAGCCUGAUGCAGCCAUGCCGCGUGUAUGAAGAAGGCCUUCGGGUUGUAAAGUACUUUCAGCGGGGAGGAAGGGAGUAAAGUUAAUACCUUUGCUCAUUGACGUUACCCGCAGAAGAAGCACCGGCUAACUCCGUG